UGGCCUAUGGUGAGGCAACUGAAUAUUGUU
rnacentral:piRNA from 1 species